GAUGAACGCUGGCGGCGUGCUAAUACAUGCCAGUCGAGCGAACAGAUGAGGAGCUUGCUCCUCUGACGUUAGCGGCGGACGGGUGAGUAACACGUGGAUAACCUACCUAUAAGACUGGGAUAACUUCGGGAAACCGGAGCUAAUACCGGAUAAUAUAUUGAACCGCAUGGUUCAAUAGUGAAAGACGGUUUUGCUGUCACUUAUAGAUGGAUCCGCGCCGCAUUAGCUAGUUGGUAAGGUAACGGCUUACCAAGGCAACGAUGCGUAGCCGACCUGAGAGGGUGAUCGGCCACACUGGAACUGAGACACGGUCCAGACUCCUACGGGAGGCAGCAGUAGGGAAUCUUCCGCAAUGGGCGAGAGCCUGACGGAGCAACGCCGCGUGAGUGAUGAAGGUCUUCGGAUCGUAAAACUCUGUUAUUAGGGAAGAACAAAUGUGUAAGUAACUAUGCACGUCUUGACGGUACCUAAUCAGAAAGCCACGGCUAACUACGUG
rnacentral:rRNA from 1 species